GACGAACGCUGGCGGCGUGCCUAACACAUGCAAGUCGAACGGAAAGGCCCUGCUUUUGGGGGGUGGGCGAGUGGAGAACGGGUGAGUAACACGUGAGUAACCUGUCCCUGACUUUGGGAUAACCUCAGGAAACUGGGGCUAAUACCGGAUAGGAGCUCCCGCUGCAUGGUGGGGGUGGGAAAGUUUCGGCGGUUGGGGAUGGACUCGCGGCUUAUCAGCUUGUUGGUGGGGUAGUGGCAUAGCAAGGCCUUGACGGGUAGCCGGCCUGAGAGGGUGACCGGCCACACUGGGACUGGGAUGCGGCCCAGACUAGAACGGGAGGCGACGGUGCGGAAUAUUGCACAAGGGGCGGGAGCCUGAUGCAGCACAGCCGCGUGGGGGAUGACGGCAUUGGGGUAGUAAACCACUUCCGCCUGUGACGAGGCGUGAGUGACGGUACUGGGUAAAGAAGCACCGGCUAACUACGUG
rnacentral:rRNA from 1 species